rnacentral:rRNA from 1 species
GUGCCAGCCGCCGCGGUAAUACGGAGGGUGCAAGCGUUGUUCGGAAUUAUUGGGCGUAAAGGGCGUGUAGGUGGCAGUCCAAGUCUGGUGUGAAAGCCCACGGCUCAACCGUGGAACUGCAUUGGAAACUGGGCAGCUCGAGUGUUGGAGGGGGUCGCGGAAUUCCCGGUGUAGAGGUGAAAUUCGUAGAUAUCGGGAGGAACACCAGUGGCGAAGGCGGCGACCUGGCCAAUCACUGACACUGAGACGCGAAAGCGUGGGGAGCAAACAGGAUUAGAAACCCUCGUAGUCC